UACGUAGGGUGCGAGCGUUAAUCGGAAUUACUGGGCGUAAAGCGUGCGCAGGCGGUUUGUUAAGACAGAUGUGAAAUCCCCGGGCUUAACCUGGGAACUGCGCUUGUUACUGAUAGGCUUGAGUGUGGCAGAGGGGGGUGGAAUUCCACGUGUAGCAGUGAAAUGCGUAGAGAUGUGGAGGAACACCGAUGGCGAAGGCAGCCCCCUGGGCUAACACUGACGCUCAUGCACGAAAGCGUGGGGAGCAAACAGG
rnacentral:rRNA from 1 species